AACGAACGCUGGCGGCGUGGCUAAGGCAUGCAAGUCGAACGGAUUCCCGCAAGGGAAUCAGUGGCGGACGGGUGAGGAAUACAUGGAUAACGUACCCCGGACACAGGGAUAGCGGCGGUAACCGCAAGGUUACCUAGCGAAAGUGCCGGUAAUACCUGAUGACCCCACCGGAGUCGCAUGGCUCUGUGGGCAAAGACUCCGACGGUCCGGGAGCGGUUCAUGGCCUAUCAGCUAGUUGGC
rnacentral:rRNA from 1 species